rnacentral:rRNA from 1 species
GACGAACGCUGGCGGCGUGCUUAACACAUGCAAGUCGAACGGACAGGCCCUGCUUUUGUGGGGUGCUCGAGUGGCGAACGGGUGUGUAACACGUGAGUAACCUGCCCUUGACUUUGGGAUAACUUCAGGAAACUGGGGCUCAUACCGGAUAGGAUCUCCUGCUGCAUGGUGGGGGUUGGAAAGUUUCGGCGGUUGGGGAUGGACUCGCGGCUUAUCCGCUUGUUGGUGGAGUAGUGGCUUACCAAGGCUUUGACGGGUAGCCGGCCUGAGAGGGUGACCGGGGACAUUGGGACUGAGAUAGGGCGCAGACGCCUACGGGAGGCAGUAGUGGGGAAUAUGGCACAAUGGGCGGAAGCCUGAUGCAGCAACGCCGCGUGCGGGAUGACGGCUUUCGGGUUGUAAACCGCUUUCGCAUGUGACGAAGAGUGAGUGACGGUAAUGGGUAAAGAAGCACCGGCUAACUACGUG